GCCGGAGGCGUCCCCGGGGCCGCGGGCAGCAGGGGGGCGACAGGCGCUGGCCGGACCCGGCGGCGGGGCUGGGGCACAGCGGCUCCGCUCGGAGGCCCCCUGACCCAGGGCACGUGUCUCCGCCGCCCGCCGCGAGGGGGGCUGUCACCCGGGGCCCCGCAGGAGCCGAGGCCACCGAAGCGGCCCGGCCAAGGUUUCCCAGGGGGCCGCGCCCGGGCGGGCAGGUCUCGGGUCCUUGGCCACCCUGCCCCGCCCUGCCCCGCCGCCCAUCAGGGCCUCCCCACCUCUGACCCACCCUGGCCAGGCUCUCCCCGCGUCCCCUCCGCUGUCGCUUCUCUCCAAUUUGAAAACUCAAUUUAAAACACAACCGUGAUCCAGGUGCCUUGGACGUAAGCCCCAUGACCCUUGAGGCCCUGGACAGCUGGGUCCUGUGCGCAUCCCCGCCCUCACCCAAACUGGGGCCAGAUAACAGCCCCUGCAGCCUCUCAAUCCCCUCUGGACCCUAACCCAUGCCGCCCCAUCAGGACCCUGACCCAAACAGCUUCUGUCCCCCAAGGAGUCCCCUCUUCCAGGAAGCCUCCUAGGGAAGACCAACGCUGCAGAGGCCUUGGCCCAAGGCCCAGGGGAGCGGGGCCACACAGUGCCAACAGCCAGGGCCUAUGGAGGUCCAGAACGCCCAGACCCAGGCUUCCCAAGCAGGUGGGCAGGUGCACGGAGGGCUUCUCGUGAGCACCAAGGCUGCCCCGGACUUCGGAACAGGUUUGUGAGGAGACACAACUGGAGCGUGAAAAGCUCCAGCAGGUGUGUAGGCUGCCCAAGGCAGGUGUGUGAAAGGUGGCCCCGGGUGGGGGGAGGUCAGAGACAAGGAAGUGAGCGGAAUGGGAGGCACUGCCAGCCGGUGGGGACAAGGUGGGGAGCAGGGCGGGCUCGUGCACCCUUGAGCCACCACAGGCUGGGGGCAGGCGUGGCCCGCUCAGCCGGGGCUGGGUAGGGUCCCAGAGACCUGCCGGGGGUGGGGGGCCCCAGUGCUGCCGGCCCACUUCCCCGUGCGGGCAUGCACUACCCCCUGGCAGAGGUGUCCCCCACCAAAGGGCACCCGGACCCCCUCCCCGGCCUCCCCACUUCUGAGUCCCCAGG
rnacentral:lncRNA from 1 species